rnacentral:rRNA from 1 species
AUGUAUAGCAAUAGCUUAUUGCACCAACAAAUAGUUGAUGUAAUAUUGACUCUGUCAAAUAAAAUUCUAGGUAGAAUUAUGAUAAUGACAUUGUCUGCCUAUAUGUCUUGACCAAAUUACGUGCCAGCAGUCGCGGUAAUACGUAGAAGACUAGUGUUAUUCAUCUUUAAUAGGUUUAAAGGGUACCUAGACGGUAGAUCAAGCCUUCGCAGGGACUAAUUUACUAGAGUUACUUACGAGGGGGUAUUAAAGUACUGCAGGUGUAGGGAUGAAAUUCUGUCAUACCUCUUUUCGAAAGAAAAAUUAUGGCACAGGUAUAGGUGAAAGCAUCCCCUUAUGUGAUAACUGACGUUGAAGGACGAAGGCUUUGUGUCGCGAACAGGAUUAGAUACCCCAGUAGUCAAAGCAGAAAAUGAUGAAUGUCAUAGAUUAGAUAAAUAGUUUAUUCUAUAAAUGAAAAUGUAAGCAUUCCACCUCAAGAGUAAUUUGGCAACAUUGGAACUGAAAUCAUUAGACCGUUUCUGAAACCAGUAGUGAAGUAUGUUGUUUAAUUUGAUGAUCCGCAAAAAACCUUACCACAAUUUGAAUAUUUAUAUCUAUCUUCUUUUUUCGCAAAAAAAUAAAAAGGUAAUAUAUUUACAAGCGUUGCACGGCUGUCUUCAGUUAAUGUCGCGAGACUUUGGUUAGUUCCAUUAAAUUAACGUAAACCCUUACUUUAUUUUUAUAUAAAGUAGUUCCCCGCUAUAUUGGAUAUGAUAACAGGGACUAAGACAAGUCAUCAUGGCCUGAAUAUUGUGGGCUAUAGACGUGCCACAUAAACCUUACAAAAGGGUGUGAAAUUGUGAAAUUGAGCUAAUCCCCCAAAAAU